UUAUAACAAUUUGUAUGUGAUUAAAAUGUUUCUACACAAACAUUGGUACUUGUAUCAACACAAAUUGUGAUUUAUAUGACACACAAACUUAGUCAGGGCACAUACACCACUAAAUAGACCACUGUAUAUGUUAGUUUAAACACUUACAUUUCUUUUUGUCCAAUUAUUUUUUCUCAU